rnacentral:rRNA from 1 species
UACGUAGGGUGCAAGCGUUAAUCGGAAUUACUGGGCGUAAAGCGUGCGCAGGCGGUUUUGUAAGUCUGGCGUGAAAUCCCCGGGCUCAACCUGGGAAUUGCGUUGGAGACUGCAAGGCUGGAGUCUGGCAGAGGGAGGUAGAAUUCCACGUGUAGCAGUGAAAUGCGUAGAGAUGUGGAGGAACACCGAUGGCGAAGGCAGCCCCCUGGGUCAAGACUGACGCUCAUGCACGAAAGCGUGGGGAGCAAACAGG